UGUUAAUAAAGUAUGAUGAAACUAAGCUAAAGAUGGGAGUAGGUAAAGGAGGGGGGAAUAGGAACUGAUGAUAAAAAGAGAUACUCGAAGUAUCGUGUGGGGAUUCCUGCGUUGGACAUUGUGAGAGGCACAACUGAGGACAUCGUCCAGGACCAGCAGUAGAAGGACUCGGUCUCUGCUCACGGCACAAAAGAUACCGAUCUUGGUCAGGACUUGGCUGACGGAGUUUCAUGGAUCCCCCCUGCUGAAACCACAAUGAUUAGAAGGACACUGUUUUCUGUGACUCUGUACGGAGUCUGGAGGAUUUCAGACGGAUUUCUAUUCCUGGCAGGAGGAGUUGGGUGUCUCGUCCGGACCCCCGACCAACAUCAAAUGACCCUUCCAUCCAGCGUCGACUCAAUCUUCAUCCUCUUCCUUCAUCUCCCUCACACACUCUCAGCCUCAUCAGGACUGACAUCACCUUCACUGACUGAUGGACCACCAUGGACAUCCUGAAACCUUCCAGUGAGUGAACUGACCUCAGAACCUCCAGUCUACAGUGAAGACUCUCCAGUCCAGCAGACAGCAGCUUCAGUCCUGAAUCCGGCAGGUUGAUAUGACUCAGGUCCAGUUCUCUCAGAUUGGAGGGGUUGGACUUCAGGGCUGAGGCCACAACUUCAAAGUGAGUCUCUGAGAGUCGACAGAUAGAAAGUCUGUAAUGACACAAAAUAUAACAAAAUGUUAUGAUGAAAGAGGACAUUUAAUAUUGACUUCCUGAUUCCUGUAUUGAUGAACAUUAGCUAUUCACAUCAGUGGUUCAGCUGAUCUCAUCUCACUGUGAAAAACAGUGAGAGGAGUUCUUGUUUCACAUGAAACAAGAACUCAUCUCUCGUCUGCAGACUUUUCUUCUUGGUGAUGUGUGCCGGGCGGGAGUGGGGAUACUCAGGAGCCUCCUAAGAGUAAGUCUCUGACUGUUGUUUGUGCUUAUGCACUAAACAGCAGUUCAGAGUAUCCGGCCUUCUUUGAGUCGUGGGAGGGGUCUUGGAAAGAGCGCCGCCUGCCGACUCUAUAGUUCUCCUGGGAGACUUCAACGCUCACCUGGGCAAUGACAGAGAAACCUGGCGGGGGUGAUUUGGAGGAACGUCUUGCCCGAUCUGAACCCGAGCGGUGUUAUUGGAAUUCUGUGCUCUCCCCGGUUUGUUUAUAACGAACACCAUGUUUGAGCAUAAGGUGGCUCAUAAGUGUACCUUG